rnacentral:rRNA from 1 species
UACGUAGGGUGCAAGCGUUGUCCGGAAUUAUUGGGCGUAAAGAGCUCGUAGGCGGUCUGUCGCGUCUGCUGUGAAAACCUAGGGCUUAACUCUGGGCGUGCAGUGGGUACGGGCAGGCUAGAGUGCGGUAGGGGAGACUGGAAUUCCUGGUGUAGCGGUGAAAUGCGCAGAUAUCAGGAGGAACACCGGUGGCGAAGGCGGGUCUCUGGGCCGAUACUGACGCUGGAGGAGCGAAAGCGUGGGGAGCGAACAGG